UCCUACGGGAGGCAGCAGUGGGGAAUUUUGGACAAUGGGCGCAAGCCUGAUCCAGCAAUGCCGCGUGAGUGAAGAAGGCCUUCGGGUUGUAAAGCUCUUUCAAUUGAGAAGAAAAAAUUAUGACUAAUAAUCA
rnacentral:rRNA from 1 species